UUAUAUUUUUAAAUGCGAGCGUUUUACAACCGUAAUACUUUUCAACGCUAGUGCAAGAGGGAGACCAGAAGCUUGUUGGUGAAAAAACCUGAGUGAUUCAUUCCUUCAUCUUGGACGUAUUGAAUUGUUAUUCACAAAGAUGCGACCAUCUUUCAUCUUAUCGGCAGUUUUUUUAUUUGGUAUCAUAACCCUUUCAUCUGCUAGUAGAAUCCCUCAUAGUCGUCAGGCAUGCCGGGUAGCAUGCGAGAACCAAGCGAGGAACUGUCACUUCAUUGAUGAUUGUCCUUUGUCGUGUGCUGAGGACGAUUACUAUUGCAUUCUGGGAGUGUGCUUAAAUACUUUAGGCUGCACUUCCAGGGGAAAGAGAGAUGAAAUUGAAACCACUGAAAUACAGAUUUGAUGAGCUGCUCAGUUUACGACUGGAAAGACAUUACAUCUCUAGGAGGCCGGAUCAUCGUUGGAAGAGGUCUCAGUAUGGAACAAAGAAAAAUAUAUACUGCCUUGAUCAUAAAAAUUAAAUAUAUUGAUUGGUAAAGAUAACAACUUAGAGCCAGCGCUUCAUCUAUAAAACACGGCACGUAAAAGCCUAACAACAAUUUUUUUCAUUUUAUUUCAAGAUGUUUUCAUAACGUGUACUCUCUAUUACAAGGAAAUUGCUUAACAAAUUAAAUUGUAACUACCGACUA